rnacentral:rRNA from 1 species
UCAUUACCGUUGUUGAUGUGCUCGUGCCUGUCCACGACCAUCGAUCUUCGGAUAACUACUGUGCACCGGUUGAGACGUUGCAGCUGACCAGCUAACACUGGCUGCCUGUCAACGUCGGCUGCUCUAUUCGGGGUAACAUUCCGAGCUUGGUGAAUGUUUUAAAUGGGUGUUGGGAGCCGAUCGCGUCCUCCCUGGCCCCGUCUAGAGUGGUUUUUGUUGUUGUUGUUGUUGGCGAACCUUUUCCACUAAGCGAACAGCAUGUUUGCAGGCCGAACGUAACACAAUGUUAAAGUAAUGUCAACAGACAACUUUUAACGGUGGAUCUCUUGGCUCGUGGAUCGAUGAAGAACGCAGCAAACUGCGAUACGUAGUGUGAAUUGCAGAAUUCAGUGAAUCAUCGAAUCUUUGAACGCAAAUGGCGCUCUUGGUUCUGCCAGGAGCACGUCUGUCUCAGUGUCGUUUUCAUAUCGAGCACGCUUUGGCGUGGUUGCCAUGAGGCGUCUGGUUUCUUGCCGUGUAACUUGUUACCGGUAAGCAGCCAGUCCCUUGAAAGUCCGGGAGUGGCUGCUCCGCCCAUUGCUUUCUGCUGGGCUGGCACGGCUGUUGCGUGUGAGUUUGUCUCCCGCUCGUCGUGUUUCUCAGUUCAGUAGUGUUUCAGGCAUGGGUUAUUGAUGUGAGUUGUCGUUUAUUCCCUGUCGUUGUGUUCAGAACACGAUUGAAAAGACGCCGUAUGCUUCGCGCAGGUCGGCGUCAACUUUGACCUGAGAUCAGUCGAGACUACCCGCU